rnacentral:rRNA from 1 species
UACGGAGGGGCUAGCGUUGUUCGGAAUUACUGGGCGUAAAGCGCACGUAGGCGGCUUUGCAAGUUAGAGGUGAAAGCCCGGGGCUCAACUCCGGAAUUGCCUUUAAAAACUGCAUCGCUAGAAUUGUGGAGAGGUAAGUGGAAUUCCGAGUGUAGAGGUGAAAUUCGUAGAUAUUCGGAAGAACACCAGUGGCGAAGGCGACUUACUGGACACAUAUUGACGCUGAGGUGCGAAAGCGUGGGGAGCAACAGG